rnacentral:sRNA from 1 species
UCGUAGGUACCCGUCACGGGUGU